rnacentral:lncRNA from 1 species
GUUGGAAAUUCCAUGAAACCUAACCCAAAGCUUAAAAUCGCUAUGGUUAUCCUAUCAUUCAUGCCAGCCACCCAAGGUAAUCUUUUUUCAGUCAUUUUUCUGAAUGGAUCAAAUAAUUCAGACCACCCCAGUGAAGUCUAAUUAGGAUGAGCUUUUAAAUUUAUCUGGGGAAAAAUGUUCAGAGCUAAUGAGGCAUUGCAGGGAAAAUAGACCUAGCCGUAAGCAAUCUCCGUAAGAAGAGAACAUUUCAGCAGCCUAAUUCAAAGACUGCAUUGUGUGUGCAUGUGUAUACAAGAGAGGUUUUUUUCUCUUCAACUUCUCACCCUUAAACCAGAUUUCUCUUGAAAGAAGGGAAAGUGUUAAGAUGACAUGAAAAUUUUAAGAAAAGGGCAGGCAACAUUCUUCUAUGAAAAGCCAGUAACACUCUUUUCUUCAUAAAUACAGCCCCUCAAAUGUUUGAAAAUGUAAUCACAUCUUGUAGCAACUGAAAAUAAAAUCAUGCUGAAAACUGAAGAAAACAUUCUUAGGGUAUGUAUUUUCAUACUUAUUUUAUAUAGGGGAAAAGCAGGGUUUUUUUUCCCCCUGGAUAAGAUGCAGUCUGAAAGAAUAUUUUAAAUUGUGUUAACUGAUUCUAUUUCAGGUAAUAUUUGAAGCUAUGAAAUACUGAUUUAUUUGGUAACAUCUUAAGGAGAGUAGCUCUCAACCAACAAACAGUGGAGAUUCAUUUAUAAACAAGCAAACGCCCCUGCUUCACAGGUGAGGUUAAUCUCCGGCAGGUGUUCUGCACUGGGUCCCAGGAUUUCUCAGCUGAAAUAACUUCAGUUGUCCACAGUGGUGAUUUACAGACCCUUUAUUAACAGCCCUCCCUUCCUUGAAGCCCUUUCUCACUUCCCUACCGUUGUUUGCAGAAGUCAUUUCCUAAAUACCCUACUUUCAUGUGAAUCUUUGUCUCGGUGCCUGCUUCGGAGGAAACCCGGGGAAGACCAGCACGGUUUGUCUGGACAGAGAAGAUUGUCAUAUAAUGGCUCCGAUUAUUUUAACUCAAUUUUACUAAAUGCUCCAGUAUUAAUCGUUUCUUUUCAGCCUUUAAUUGAUAUAUCAUUUAUGUUAGAAGCUAUUAAGAAAAUGUAUAAAAGAUGUAUUAACCAGAAUAACAGAGAUCUUUCCUCUCCUGCCCAUUCUUAUUCAUGGUGCAAAGACAGCUUCCCCCAUUACCUUGAAAGACUCCACCUCCCCCAUUUUAUUAUUUUUCAUAAUACUUAUCACCAUCUGCCAUACCAUGUGUGUGUAUGGGGAAGCAUAAUUCUAUGAUGAUCCCCUCGUGAAUCCCAUCCACGUAUAAUGCCCUACUUUUGAAUCCAGGCAGGACCUGUGAGUUGCUUCUAGAUAAGAAUAUGGCAAAAGUACAGCGAUGCCACUCCCUUGCUUAGGUUCCGUUGGGUAAGACUCCUUCUUAGCAAAUUGAAGCAAGAAAUUCUCCUGAUGGCCUUCAAGAAGGAAACCACCAGGUGUGAAAGAAUCACAUGGCAAGGAAUGAUGGGGGACUCUAGAAGCUGAGAAUGGUCCCUGCUGACAGCCAGCAAAAAGGUAGUCCUAUAGCUUCAAGCAACUGACCACAACUGCCAACAACCACGUGAUCUUGAAAGAGAACGCCAAGCUCCAGAAAGAACCUCAGCACAGCCAAUACCUUCACUGCAACCUUGCAGAAGGGCCAGCUAAGCUGUGCCAGGACUCCUGCCUGUGGACACUGUGAGAUAGUAACUGCAUGUUGUGAACUGCUGAUUUUGUGGUAACUUGUUACCCAGCAAUACAGAAUGUGCUGUAUAUUUAUCUGUAUAUGUAUUGUCUGCCCCUGCACCCUCCCAACACAUUCAUUAGCUUGUAAGCACCAUGAGAAAAGGAUUUUUUUUUUGCCUGCUUUUGAAACUACUUUAUCUCCAGUGGCUAAGAAGAUUACUCAGCACUUAGUAGGCUUUCCCUAAAUAAAUGUUAAAUGAAUUAAGUGAAAUGAAAAUAU